rnacentral:rRNA from 1 species
AAAUNUNGNGGGCUCAAACCNCGAACGGUUCAUUGGAAANUGGAGGACUUGAGUACAGAAGAGGAGAGGUGGAAUUCCACGUGUAGCGGUGAAANNCGUAGNAGAUGUGGAGNAACACCNAGUGGCGAAGGCGACUCUNUGGUNUGUNAACUGACGCUGAGGAGCGAAAGCGUGGGGAGCGAACAGGAUUAGAUACCCUGGUAGUNCACGCCGUAAACGAUGAGUGCUAGGUGUUAGGGGGUUUCCGCCCCUUAGUGCUGAAGUUAACGCAUUAAGCACUCCGCCUNGGGAGUACGGCCGCAAGGCUGAAACUCAAAAGAAUUGACGGGGGCCCGCACAAGCGGUGGAGCAUGUGGUUUAAUUNGAAGCAACGCGAAGAACCUUACCAGGUCUUGACAUCCUUUGCCAUUCCUAGAGAUAGGAAGUUCCCUUCGGGGACAGAGUGACAGGUGGUGCAUGGUUGUCGUCAGCUCGUGUCGUGAGAUGUUGGGUUAAGUCCCGCAACGAGCGCAACCCUUGAUCUUAGUUGCCAGCAUUUAGUUGGGCACUUUAAGGUGACUGCCGGUGACAAACCGGAGGAAGGUGGGGAUGACGUCAAAUCAUCAUGCCCCUUAUGACCUGGGCUACACACGUGCUACAAUGGAUGGAACAAAGGGAAGCAAAACCGCGAGGUCAAGCAAAUNUCNUAAAACCAUUUUCAGUUUGGAUUGCAGGCUGCAACUUGCCUGCAUGAAGCCGGANUUGAGUUUGAUCCUGNNNCAGCAUGCCGCGGUGAAUACGUUCCCGGGCCUUGUACACCCCGCCCGUCACACCACGAGAGUUGGUAACACCCGAAGUNGNAGAG